UCCUAGUUAACCUAGGCAGUCUCAUUAGAGUUCCCGGCCGAACCGUUGGCAACUAAUGAUAAGGGUUGCGCUCGUUGCUGGACUUAACCAAACACCUCACGGCACGAGCUGACGACAGCCAUGCAGCACCUGUUUAGCGGCCCCGAAGGGCUUUAACAUCUCUGUCAAAUUCCACUAUAUGUCAAGACUGGGUAAGGUUCUUCGCGUUGCAUCGAAUUAAACCACAUGCUCCACUGCUUGUGCGGGUCCCCGUCAAUUCUUUUGAGUUUCAGCCUUGCGACUGUACUCCCCAGGCGGUAUACUUAUCGCGUUCGCUACGGCACAACCAGGGUUGAGUCCGGUUACACCAAGUAUACAUCGUUUACGGCAAGGACUAC
rnacentral:misc_RNA from 1 species